rnacentral:rRNA from 1 species
ACGCUCGACACCUAUGGGAGGCAGCAGUGGGGAAUAUUGCACAAUGGGGGAAACCCUGAUGCAGCGACGCCGCGUGGAGGAAGAAGGUCUUCGGAUUGUAAACUCCUGUUGUUGGGGAAAAAGAGGAUGGUACCCAACAAGGAAGUGACGGCUAACUACGUGCUAGCAGCCGCGGUAAUCUGAGCGGGCUGGCAAGGC